UACGAAGGGGGCUAGCGUUGUUCGGAAUCACUGGGCGUAAAGGGCGCGUAGGCGGCCGUUCAAGUCGGGGGUGAAAGCCUGUGGCUCAACCACAGAAUUGCCUUCGAUACUGUACGGCUCGAGACCGGAAGAGGUAAGUGGAACUGCGAGUGUAGAGGUGAAAUUCGUAGAUAUUCGCAAGAACACCAGUGGCGAGGGCGGCUUACUGGUCCGGUUCUGACGCUGAGGCGCGAAAGCGUGGGGAGCAAACAGG
rnacentral:rRNA from 1 species